CUAUUCAAUCUAAAGCCAUUUUCGCAAAAUAUAUAACAUUGGCUUUCUCCAACAGCCACACAAUAAGCAAGGUUCUGUCCAUUACCAUAAUAAACAAGAUUCCUUGCAGAGCAACGGAGUUUAAUCUGUUGAAUGUCACAAUUGCAAUGUUCAAACAAUAAUCAAAGAACACAAAAUUGAUAAUAAGUCUAACAUGUAUAAACACAACAUCGAAACAGGAAAUAAAAUCAAUUACGAUAACGUAAAACUCAUCCAUAAACAACCCAAAGGCUAUAAAUUGGAUCUUCUUGAAAUGUUAGAAAUAAAAAGAUACGAUAGCUCGCCCGAAUGUGAAAAUCUAAAUGAUAAAACUUCAUGUUAUUAUAAACCCUUGUUCAACUAUUUAAAUAAGACCUCAAACUCUAAAACCUGAUUUUGUUAAAAAUGGUUCCCCUCCCUUUCUCAUUCACUUUCCAUCCGGUUUUAUUAUUUUAGGGUUGUAAGACCGUUAAGACUCGUGUUGUUUUAUUAUUCGCAUAACGUUGAAAAUUUCCAGUGAUUGAUUUUUAUUUUUCUGUUCAUUUUGUGCUGUAAUAGCAAUGUUCGUUUUUAUUUGUGAUGUUUUUAUAUUACCCUUAUAUUGACAAAACGUGUGGAGGAAUACUGUCCAACGAAUGCAUUGCCGUCCGGACAACGACGAAUGUUCUAUUUGCCAGGAACAGAUAGUUUGCGGCGGCAAUAGUUGGAGAUAUUGGGGCGAUACGAUCUUUUAGAUCAUUCAUUCCACCAAGUUUUGACAAAAAGAGUCGUACAACGCUUCGAGAAGUGGGCGCCAGUAGGAAGAGAAAUCUUACUGAUAAGGAGCAGAAGCUGUUCACGAGGUUGAAGAAGGCAUGAGUAUUUUGCGGUAUCGUAGCAAACAUAUUCGAAGCUUACAUGUUCCCACGUAAACCCCACUAACCAUCAGAAGAUGAAAGUAAAGCUUGCAGCGCAAGUUUUUAGUAACUCCGUCCUUAAUAUUCUGUCGAAAGCAGGCGUUAUGGAUGCUACGGGAACAGUGAUAUUUGUUAAGUUCAUGAACGACCUCUUUGAUUCUCUUAAUUCUGUAUUUACCUCUGCGAAACCUUUAGUAUGCAAACUAACUAACAACUCAACAUAUUACAUUUUGGGAUGGUGCGAGGAGGAAGUUAAGUCAACUUAAAUUUUUGUCCAAUGGUAAGAGUGUGGAAACCUACGAUCAAAUUACUGUUAGCAACAAUUGGUAAUGUACGGUAAUUCGCAAAUCUUUAAGGCAUAAAGGUUUUAAGUAUCUUACUUUGAGAUCUUUAAAUCAAGAUCCUUUAGAGAAUCUUUUUAGUGUUGCUAAAGGAUUAUGUGAUGGUAAUAGCCUUCAGCGUCACAGUUCGGGGGAGCUAAGGGGGAACAUUAAGACAAAUACACCUUUUUAAAUUACUCAUUAUAUAUUUUUUUUCCUGUUAGUUUAUUGUAAUGUAAACAUUUAUAA